UACGUAGGGGGCUAGCGUUGUCCGGAAUCAUUGGGCGUAAAGAGCGUGUAGGCGGCCCGGUAAGUCCGCUGUGAAAGUCGGGGGCUCAACCCUCGAAUGCCGGUGGAUACUGUCGGGCUAGAGUGCGGAAGAGGCGAGUGGAAUUCCUGGUGUAGCGGUGAAAUGCGCAGAUAUCAGGAGGAACACCGAUGGCGAAGGCAGGUCUCUGGGCAUUAACUGACGCUGGAGGAGCGGAAAGCAUGGGGAGCGAACAGG
rnacentral:rRNA from 1 species